UCUCAUGAUGAAAGCUAUUUCCAGUUCUGCUACUGAAUUGAACUGCUGAUACACAAGUGAUCUGAGGAA